AGCAUGGAAACAAACUCUCAGAGGAACAUUACAAAGGAACAGAUGAGUCUGCUGGAAACAUCACACUACAGCUGACAAAACGAGCAGAAGAACUGCAGCAACCAGAGAAAAGCAGUUUCUCCUCAUGGAUCAAAGGAAAGAUCAACCCACAGUCUCAAGCUUACAGCGGCCAUUUUGACAUUAUUCAAGAUGAUGGUAAAGUGGUCAAAGUGAAGUCAAAGAACCAGAAUUGUUUCUAUCAUGCAGUUGUACAAGCAACUGGAAGUGACCCAAGUGAUCUUAAAGGAGCUGCUGUGGAACUUCGUGAGAGAGUGAAAAAUGAAGUUCAGGAAAACCUUGCUGCAUACGCACCGAUUCUUCAGCUUCAGAGAGGCUAUGAUGACUCCCACGAAAACCCU